CUUUGCUUUUAGAAAAAAAAAAAGCAAUGUCAUUAAACAAAUUCUCAGGCAUAGUAAAUUAGUCAGGUACUUUUCAGACAAUAAUAUUGAGACAAUAAAGGCAAUUGAUCCACAAAAUAAGCAAAGAACAUUUGUCUACUACUCAAUAUAUUUGCAUUCCACAUGAAGAUAACAAGGGGAAAUGCAGCCCUCAUACAAACUGAUCAAAUUCUUGUUCCCGCAGCUAAACUGUGUCAAUACUCAUUUGCAAAUCAACCAGUGAGGCGAGGGGGACAACCAUGAUGGGUGAUAGGCUUGGAACAUGCUUGCUAUCUUCGAAGGAGAGACUAGAUGAUACUCAGUGUUAACCUAUUGUCUGGUUACUUAGUAGAGGAACAAGGUUUAGCAAAAUGUUAAUGUCAAAUCCAGUGCUUUCAUGAGCACUUGGCAUGCUUAGCAAUCAAUAAAUGGUUUUCAGGAGAGAUGCUUGAUGGGACAUACUUAACAAGCUGUGUGUCUAGUCCCCGUUCC
rnacentral:misc_RNA from 1 species